UCGGGAAUAUUGCGCAAUGGAGGAAACUCUGACGCAGUGACGCCGCGUGCAGGAAGAAGGUUUUAGGAUUGUAAACUGCUUUAGACAGGGAAGAAAUAAGACAGUACCUGUAGAAUAAGCUCCGGCUAACUACGUGCC
rnacentral:rRNA from 1 species